GUCCUUUUGAAUUUUAUAGAAGGUCUGACCUGCCCAGUGAUAAUUUUAACGGCCGCGGUAUACUGACCGUGCAAAGGUAGCAUAAUCAUUAGUCUUUUAAUAGAGGGCUGGAAUGAAAGGUUUAACGAGGAAUUGACUGUCUCAUUUUAUUUGUUUUAGAAUUUAAUUUUUUAGUCAAAAAGCUAAAAUCUUAUUGGAAGACGAGAAGACCCUAUAGAUCUUUAUAAAACUUUAUUUAAUUAUUUUUAUAUUAUUUAAAUGAUUUUUUAUUUUGUUGGGGUGACAAAAAUAUAUGUAAAACUUUUUUAUUUAUUUAACAUUAAUUUAUGAUUAUUAGAUCCAUUAUUAGUGAUUGAUAGACUAAGUUACCUUAGGGAUAACAGCGUAAUCCUCCUCCAGAGUUCAUAUUUACAGGAUGGGCUUGCGACCUCGAUGUUGGAUUAAGAUGAUAGUUAGGUGUAGCCGCUUAAUUUAUAGGUCUGUUCGACCUUUAAACUCUU
rnacentral:rRNA from 2 species